UUAAGCGACUAAGCGUACACGGUGGAUGCCCUGGCAGUCAGAGGCGAUGAAGGACGUGCUAAUCUGCGAUAAGCGUCGGUAAGGUGAUAUGAACCGUUAUAACCGGCGAUUUCCGAAUGGGGAAACCCAGUGUGAUUCGUCACACUAUCAUUAACUGAAUCCAUAGGUUAAUGAGGCGAACCGGGGGAACUGAAACAUCUAAGUACCCCGAGGAAAAGAAAUCAACCGAGAUUCCCCCAGUAGCGGCGAGCGAACGGGGAGCAGCCCAGAGCCUGAAUCAGUGUGUGUGUUAGUGGAAGCGUCUGGAAAGGCGUGCGAUACAGGGUGACAGCCCCGUACACAAAAAUGCACAUACUGUGAGCUCGAUGAGUAGGGCGGGACACGUGGUAUCCUGUCUGAAUAUGGGGGGACCAUCCUCCAAGGCUAAAUACUCCUGACUGACCGAUAGUGAACCAGUACCGUGAGGGAAAGGCGAAAAGAACCCCGGCGAGGGGAGUGAAAAAGAACCUGAAACCGUGUACGUACAAGCAGUGGGAGCACGCUUAGGCGUGUGACUGCGUACCUUUUGUAUAAUGGGUCAGCGACUUAUAUUCUGUAGCAAGGUUAACCGAAUAGGGGAGCCGAAGGGAAACCGAGUCUUAACUGGGCGUUAAGUUGCAGGGUAUAGACCCGAAACCCGGUGAUCUAGCCAUGGGCAGGUUGAAGGUUGGGUAACACUAACUGGAGGACCGAACCGACUAAUGUUGAAAAAUUAGCGGAUGACUUGUGGCUGGGGGUGAAAGGCCAAUCAAACCGGGAGAUAGCUGGUUCUCCCCGAAAGCUAUUUAGGUAGCGCCUCGUGAAUUCAUCUCCGGGGGUAGAGCACUGUUUCGGCAAGGGGGUCAUCCCGACUUACCAACCCGAUGCAAACUGCGAAUACCGGAGAAUGUUAUCACGGGAGACACACGGCGGGUGCUAACGUCCGUCGUGAAGAGGGAAACAACCCAGACCGCCAGCUAAGGUCCCAAAGUCAUGGUUAAGUGGGAAACGAUGUGGGAAGGCCCAGACAGCCAGGAUGUUGGCUUAGAAGCAGCCAUCAUUUAAAGAAAGCGUAAUAGCUCACUGGUCGAGUCGGCCUGCGCGGAAGAUGUAACGGGGCUAAACCAUGCACCGAAGCUGCGGCAGCGACACUAUGUGUUGUUGGGUAGGGGAGCGUUCUGUAAGCCUGUGAAGGUGUACUGUGAGGUAUGCUGGAGGUAUCAGAAGUGCGAAUGCUGACAUAAGUAACGAUAAAGCGGGUGAAAAGCCCGCUCGCCGGAAGACCAAGGGUUCCUGUCCAACGUUAAUCGGGGCAGGGUGAGUCGACCCCUAAGGCGAGGCCGAAAGGCGUAGUCGAUGGGAAACAGGUUAAUAUUCCUGUACUUGGUGUUACUGCGAAGGGGGGACGGAGAAGGCUAUGUUGGCCGGGCGACGGUUGUCCCGGUUUAAGCGUGUAGGCUGGUUUUCCAGGCAAAUCCGGAAAACUAAGGCUGAGGCGUGAUGACGAGGCACUACGGUGCUGAAGCAACAAAUGCCCUGCUUCCAGGAAAAGCCUCUAAGCAUCAGGUAACAUCAAAUCGUACCCCAAACCGACACAGGUGGUCAGGUAGAGAAUACCAAGGCGCUUGAGAGAACUCGGGUGAAGGAACUAGGCAAAAUGGUGCCGUAACUUCGGGAGAAGGCACGCUGAUAUGUAGGUGAAGUCCCUCGCGGAUGGAGCUGAAAUCAGUCGAAGAUACCAGCUGGCUGCAACUGUUUAUUAAAAACACAGCACUGUGCAAACACGAAAGUGGACGUAUACGGUGUGACGCCUGCCCGGUGCCGGAAGGUUAAUUGAUGGGGUUAGCGCAAGCGAAGCUCUUGAUCGAAGCCCCGGUAAACGGCGGCCGUAACUAUAACGGUCCUAAGGUAGCGAAAUUCCUUGUCGGGUAAGUUCCGACCUGCACGAAUGGCGUAAUGAUGGCCAGGCUGUCUCCACCCGAGACUCAGUGAAAUUGAACUCGCUGUGAAGAUGCAGUGUACCCGCGGCAAGACGGAAAGACCCCGUGAACCUUUACUAUAGCUUGACACUGAACAUUGAGCCUUGAUGUGUAGGAUAGGUGGGAGGCUUUGAAGUGUGGACGCCAGUCUGCAUGGAGCCGACCUUGAAAUACCACCCUUUAAUGUUUGAUGUUCUAACGUUGACCCGUAAUCCGGGUUGCGGACAGUGUCUGGUGGGUAGUUUGACUGGGGCGGUCUCCUCCUAAAGAGUAACGGAGGAGCACGAAGGUUGGCUAAUCCUGGUCGGACAUCAGGAGGUUAGUGCAAUGGCAUAAGCCAGCUUGACUGCGAGCGUGACGGCGCGAGCAGGUGCGAAAGCAGGUCAUAGUGAUCCGGUGGUUCUGAAUGGAAGGGCCAUCGCUCAACGGAUAAAAGGUACUCCGGGGAUAACAGGCUGAUACCGCCCAAGAGUUCAUAUCGACGGCGGUGUUUGGCACCUCGAUGUCGGCUCAUCACAUCCUGGGGCUGAAGUAGGUCCCAAGGGUAUGGCUGUUCGCCAUUUAAAGUGGUACGCGAGCUGGGUUUAGAACGUCGUGAGACAGUUCGGUCCCUAUCUGCCGUGGGCGCUGGAGAACUGAGGGGGGCUGCUCCUAGUACGAGAGGACCGGAGUGGACGCAUCACUGGUGUUCGGGUUGUCAUGCCAAUGGCACUGCCCGGUAGCUAAAUGCGGAAGAGAUAAGUGCUGAAAGCAUCUAAGCACGAAACUUGCCCCGAGAUGAGUUCUCCCUGACUCCUUGAGAGUCCUGAAGGAACGUUGAAGACGACGACGUUGAUAGGCCGGGUGUGUAAGCGCAGCGAUGCGUUGAGCUAACCGGUACUAAUGAACCGUGAGGCUUAACCU
rnacentral:rRNA from 1 species